rnacentral:rRNA from 1 species
UACGUAGGGGGCGAGCGUUGUCCGGAAUCAUUGGGCGUAAAGCGCGUGUAGGCGGCCCGGUAAGUCCGCUGUGAAAGUCCAGGGCUCAACCCUGGGAUGCCGGUGGAUACUGUCGGGCUCGAGUCCGGAAGAGGCGAGUGGAAUUCCUGGUGUAGCGGUGAAAUGCGCAGAUAUCAGGAGGAACACCAAUAGCGAAGGCAGCUCGCUGGGACGUGACUGACGCUGAGACGCGAAAGCGUGGGGAGCAAACAGG